rnacentral:misc_RNA from 1 species
UCUCUCUCUCUCUCUCUCUCUCUCAAUCAAUCCCAGCAUAAAACCUCCCUCACAACAAGAAGCAUACACUUAUUUCUUGCACCAAAGAAACCCAUCGAUCACAAAGUGGGCAAUCUAAAGCAAAGAAGAAAAGCCACUUUAUAUACUAUCAUUACAAUCAUAUCCAACUACUAAAGCGCCUAUAAUUUUUACACUAGUUCUCAUCACCUGAAACGAGUUCCAUCCACACUUCCAAAUUUAACCCAUCAAAGAUCAAAGAGAAAGGGAAAGGGAAAAAACAAAAGAAAGAGAGAUCAUCAUGGAGAUNNNAGUGCGAGUGUUGUGGAUUGAAAGAGGAUUGCACCCAAGACUAUAUCAGUGAGGUGAAGGCGAAAUUCGAUGGCAAAUGGUUAUGUGGGUUGUGCUCAGAAGCGGUUAGAGAUGAAGUUAGUAGAGGCAAAAAGCCAUUUGGAAUGGAUGAAGCAGUUAGAGCUCACAUGUCAUUUUGUGGUAAAGUCAAUUCAAAUCCAGCUGUUGGAGUUGCUAAUGGGAUGAGGCAGAUGCUGAGAAGACGUUCAGGAGACUUGUCUUCUUCAUCAUCUUCCAAGAAGUACACGCGAUCAGCAAGCACAAAACUCUACUGAUCAUUAAUCGGGAGGGAUCUUAUAAUUCCUUGCCUGGAAUAAUUAAUAUGGAUGGCUAUGGCAGCCUUUCUUGGCUAAGUGUUGUCUUGUCUUGUAAUGUACAGGGAAUGUUAUUUCAAAGGAGGNCAGCUUGCUUUUUUGCACUAAACAUUUGUUAUGCUUUUCUUCUCCUUUGUUGGCUAAAGAG